rnacentral:rRNA from 1 species
GACGAACGCUGGCGGCGUGCUUAACACAUGCAAGUCGAACGGUAAGGCCCUGCUUUUGUUGGGUGCUCGAGUGGCGAACGGGUGAGUAACACGUGAGUAACCUGCCCUUGACUUUGGGAUAACUUCAGGAAACUGGGGCUAAUACCGGAUAGGAGCUCCUGCUGCAUGGUGGGGGUUGGAAAGGUUCGGCGGUUGGGGAUGGACUCGCGGCUUAGCAGCUUGUUGGUGGGGUAGUGGCUUACCAAGGCUUUGACGGGUAGCCGGCCUGAGAGGGUGACCGGCCACAUUGGGACUGAGAUACGGCCCAGACUCCUACGGGAGGCAGCAGUGGGGAAUAUUGCACAAUGGGCGGAAGCCUGAUGCAGCAACGCCGCGUGCGGGAUGACGGCCUUCGGGUUGUAACCCGCUUUCGCCUGUGACGAAGCGUGAGUGACGGUAAUGGGUAAAGAAGCACCGGCUAACUACGUG